ensembl:lncRNA
GUCAAGGGAUUCACAGAACAGGGCCUCUGACCUAACUUCAGGGGUCAACGGAGGCUUCCCCCAGGACAGUUGAGAACUCUGAAGGGGGAGCAGGAGUAGACACCUAGAGCGGCUUGGGUGGAGGGUGAGCAUGCACAGAUUCUAGCAGAGCAGACGGUCCUCCCCAACACGGGCAGGCAUCAGCCAAGAAGUCAAGGGCCUGAAUAGAAUAAAAAGGCGGAGGAAGGUUGAAUUCACUCCUCGACUGAUUGCUGAGCGGAAACGUUGAUCUCCUGCCCUGGGUGAUCCUGAUUCAUAGAACCUCAGAUCCAGACUGGAAUCUACACCCUCGGCUCUCUGGCUGUCAAGGCUUCCAGCAUCUUCCCUGGAUCUCCAGCGUGCAGACAGCAGACUGUGGGACUUCUCAGCCUCCAUAAUCACGUUCUGCCACACGUCGAGAAAGAAAGUGAGAAAUUUGAGAGCACGAAAGUUAAAAGGGCUUCUCAAUAAUUAGCUUAACAGGAAGAUUAGCCCUGAGCUAACAUCUGCCGCCAAUCCUCCUCUUUUUGCUAAGGAAGACUGGCCCUGAGCUCACAUCCACGCCCAUCUUCCUCUGCUUUAUAUGUGGGAUGCCUGCCACAGCAUGGCUUGCCAAGCGGUGCCAUGUCCGCACCCGGGAUCCGAACCAGCAAACCCCGGGCCACCGAAGUGGAACAUGUGCACUUAACCACUGCGCCACCGGGCCGGCCCCUAAAAUGCAUUUUUAUCCCAAGGGCUAUACAAAAACAAGCGGUGGGCUAGAUUUAGCCCAUGGGCUGUAGAGCUGGCUUAUGCUACCUACUGAGAACUCUCUAAUUAGGGCAAUGACACAAAGAUAGGCAACUCCAAUACAAGGCAAAAUGUUGCAAAGGCAAAUUUUAAAACUCUCUAUGGCCCAAUGGAGGCAGACAGCCCAUUUGGUUGUAGCAAUUAGGAAGUCUUCCAUGAAGAGGUGACAAUCCAUGUGGGUCUUGCAUGAUGGGUAGGAGUUCAACAAGUAGAGACAGUGAAGAUAGACCAUGCAGAGGGAAUGGCUUGGACAAAGGGGUGAGAACUGGCAUUUGCAAGCCACCCACUCCAAAAUGCCUGCUUCCACCCAAAAUAUUCCAAUCUCUUGAACUAAAAAUGCUUUGAGGAAUUGGAAUAUGUGAAAAGUGUUUCAAUGCUUCUGUGAGUACCAAUGAAACUAAAGCAUUGAGAAAGGGACAAAUUGCAACAACUGAAAUAAUAGCGUUACGUGUGAAAACCAUGAUCAAUGAUAUAUUUUUCUCUCUUUACAGAUCACAAGUUGAGGGGAGGGUGUCUUAUUUCCCACAUCAAAUUACUUCCGGGUGCAAAUUCGACUGUACGGAAUAUGCUCCCAAGUAUCAUACAAUACAAAAAAUAAUUCUCUUGAGAUAGUUUCUAGUUAUACAAAUUAGUUCCCAUGAGAUUUAUUUUGUUUUCUUUAGUCUUUACACACCAUCCAAUGGAGUUGUUGGUUAUUUUCAAGCACAAGAAAUCCCCUCAUGAGUAUAAAUUACUACAAUUUCAGACAGUGUUGGGUUUUUUCCAAGUUACACAUUUUCAUUAGAUUUGCUUUGAUACCAGUCAUUAAAAGGAAAUGCUAUCUGGUUGGCAGUGUUUCUAGAGCAAGAAAGAAGGCAAACUGUCAAGUUGGUAUGGAAUAAUGCAUUUCUCUCCUGAGAGACACCCAACUUCAGACAGUAGGGCAGUUAAGAGACCAGGUUCUGAAGUCAAACUCUCCAGGCUCAAUUCGCUGGCCUCCCACCCAACGAGCUAUCAGCACCUGACAAAUUACUCAUCUCCCACAGCCUCAGUUUCCCCAACAAUAAAAUAGGAAAAAGUAAUCAUAGCCACCUCUCGGUGAGUAUGUGAUUGUACGGUACAGGAAACGGGCUCAGUUAGUUUUAGCAAUCAUUACCAUGUCCCAGUGACCCCUUUCCUCCAAAUCUAAACAAAAUCUGCCAAUUUUUUUUUUUUUUGAGCUAAAAUGAUAUUCCCUCCAUGCAACCUUCUGAUACAGCGGUAAGUUGAAGACAAGACCUGACAAGUAAGACCCUUCGUGUCCCCUUCUCUCUCCGUCCUCCAUCAUUUGGACCCUGCAGGGGUCUGAAACUGCUCACCAAGCUGCGGGAGAUAAAGGCAGAGAAACAGGGCGAAGCUGACCACACAGCCUCUCCCACUGCCAGCUUCCUGCCCACAGCGGGCCCAGCUGGCAGAGAGCAGGGCAGAGGUCUCAUCGGUAGGGAGGUCUGGAUUUUGGUUCCUUACACAGGAUAGAACAGACCGAGUACUGAAAUGAGAACCCUUGGGACAUCAGAAAGGGUAUUUUGUAUUAUCUGAGAGAGGCUGGAAAAGCUAUAGGACCAUCUGAGCUUCCAUCAGGGGCAGAGAAGAACUUUUCCCGUGACAGGGGGAGGAGUGGGCAGAGGCAAGAAGGGAGACAAAGCUGAUUUUGAUCACAUUCUAAGAGACCCAUUACAACUGAUGUGCAUGGACUGUCUGUCUGUCUGUCUGCCGUGGGUGUGAGGGACGGUGGCAAUGACUCAGGCCUUCAAGACAUAUAGACCUGAAGCUUCAGCACCUAUUACCUCAUUGAAGUGCAGUUUUCUCAACUGAGUUCUGGGGACAAGAAUGAGUGGGGACUCAAGGAGAUGAGGGAUGCAGAGUUUUUGGCACAGUGCCAUCCUGCAGACAAAACAAACGGCGGCUGAUCUUGUCACGAUCACUAGUAUCUGUGUUCUCACUCCCAUUCAGUGGCGACUUGUGAAGUCACUUUAAUAUUCACUAACGGCCAUGGCAAUUUGCAGUCAGUGCCUUUAUGGGUCAGAGUGCAAUCCAGCAGAGCCUGUGGGUGUGGGUUUGUUCCCCCCAG